rnacentral:misc_RNA from 1 species
AACGCACCUUGCGCUCGCUGGUAUUCCGGCGAGCAUGCCUGUUUGAGUGUCAUGAACUCUUCAACCCUCCGGUUCCUUGUGAACUGCGAGGCGUUUGGAUUUUGAGUGUCUGCUGGUCUAUUUCUCUCGGGAAAGAAGAUGUAGCUCGCUCGUAAUACAUUAGCAAAUCUCCAAUUUCGAAUUGUUCGGAUUGACUCGGCGUAAUAGACUUAUAUUCGCUGAGGACACCUUUUCAUUAAGGUGGCCGAACUUCGAGGUAGAAGCUUCUAAUACUCAAUUUGAAGUCAAAUUCUAAGAUUAGACCUCAGAUCAGGCAGGAUUACCCGCUGAACUUAA